rnacentral:rRNA from 1 species
UACAGAGGUCUCAAGCGUUGUUCGGAUUCAUUGGGCGUAAAGGGUGCGUAGGCGGCGCGGUAAGUCGGAUGUGAAAUCUCGGAGCUUAACUCCGAAACUGCAUUCGAUACUGCCGUGCUUGAGGACUGGAGAGGAGACUGGAAUUUACGGUGUAGCGGUGAAAUGCGUAGAUAUCGGGAGGAACACCAGUGGCGAAAGCGGCUACCUGGCCCAUUCUUGACGCUGAGGCGCGAAAGCUAGGGGAGCAAACGGG